rnacentral:rRNA from 1 species
GACUGGAAGCACCCGAGUAGCGUCAGGCACGAGGAAUCUGGCGUGAAUCAGCGUGGACCAUAUCACGUAAGGCUAAAUACUGUUGUUGACCGAUAGUGAAGAGUACCGUGAGGGAAAGGUGAAAAGAACCCUGAGCAAGGGAGUGAAACAGAAUUUGAAACCGUGUGCUUACAAACGGUAGGAGCACUUUAUGUGUGACUGCGUGGAUUUUGGUUAAUCAUCCUGCGAGUUAUGAUUAGUGGCAAGGUUAAUAAAGCGGAGCCGAAGGGAAACCGAGUCUUAACAGGGCGUCAAGUCGCUAGUCAUAGACGCGAAACCUAGUGAUCUAGGCCUGUCCAGGCUGAAGCUGAGGUAAGACUCAGUGGAGGGCCGAACUCACCGCCGUUGAAAAGUUGGGAGAUGAGAUAGGUCUAGGGGUGAAAAGCCAAUCGAACUAGGAGAUAGCUCGUUCUCUCCGAAAUGCAUUUAGGUGCAGCCUUGAACUGAGAUAUGUGGGGGUAGAGCUCUGUAUGAUCUAGGGGGCGUACUGCUUACCGAAAUCAAGCAAACUUCGAAUACCAUAUAUUAAUAGUCAGGAGUGAGUCCGCGGAUGACAAGGUCCGCGGACGAGAGGGGAACAGCCCAGACCGCCAGCUAAGGUCCCUAAUUAUGUCUAAGUGGGAAAGGAGGUGGAUAUUCACAGACAACCAGGAGGUUGGCUUAGAAGCAGCCAUGCCUUGAAAGAGUGCGUAAUAGCUCACUGGUCGAGAGUAUCUGCGCCGAAGAUGUAACGGGGCUAAGACAUAAACCGAAGCUGCGGAGGCGUGCCUGCACGCCUGGUAGGAGAGCGUUCUGUAGGCCGUUGAAGGAAUGCCGCAAGGCCGUUCUGGAGGUAUCAGAAGCGAGAAUGCAGGAAUGAGUAGCGAGAAGGCGGGCGAGAAUCCCGCCGGCCGGAAGUCCAAGGUUUCCAGGGGAAGGUUUGUCCGCCCUGGGGAAGUCGGGACCUAAGCAUAAGCAAAAAUGUGAUGGCGAAUGGAAAACAGGUUAAUAUUCCUGUACCACUAUUAUCGCUUGAGAGACGGAGUGACGCAGGAAGGUAUGUGAGAAGACUGACGGAAUAGUCUUUCUAAGGGCGUAGCAUGGACACGCAGGAAAAUCCGCGUGUCUAAAUGUGAGACCUGACGGGGAAGUGCAUUGGCACAAGUCACAGAUCCUACACUGCCGGGAAAAACUUCUAUCGAUGAGAAGUAGUGCCCGUACUGUAAACCGACACAGGUGGACAGAGUGAGAAACUUAAGGCCGACAGGAUAACUCUAGCUAAGGAACUCUGCAAAAUAGCCCCGUAACUUCGGGAGAAGGGGUGCCUGAUAUACCUGAGAGGAGAAACGCCUCAAGGGGAAACAGGCCGCAGUGAAGAGUCCCAAGCAACUGUUUACCAAAAACACAGGUCUAUGCUAAGCUGAAAGGCGACGUAUAUGGGCUGACACCUGCCCAGUGCCGGAAGGUUAAGAGGAGGAGUGAGAGCUCCGAUUUGAAGCCCCGGUGAACGGCGGCCGUAACUAUAACGGUCCUAAGGUAGCGAAAUUCCUUGUCGGGUAAGUUCCGACCUGCACGAAUGGUGAAAUGAUUUGGGAGCUGUCUUGGCUGGAGACCUGGUGAAGUUGUAAUGCCGGUGAAGAUACCGGCUACCUGCAGUAGGACGGAAAGACCCCGUGGAGCUUUACUGUAGUUUGGCAUUGGGUUUUGGCUGUGUGUGUAUAGGAUAGUUGGGAGACUGUGAAGCUGAGGCGUCAGUUUCAGCCGAGUCGCCGUUGGAAUACCAACCAUAUGCCGUUGAAAUUCUAAUCUGGUAACGGAGACAGUGCUAGAUGGGCAGUUUGACUGGGGCGGUCGCCUCCAAAAGAGUAACGGAGGCGUUCAAAGGUUCCCUCAGGCUGGAUGGAAAUCAGCCUAAGAGUGCAAACGCAUAAGGGAGCUUGACUGCAAGACUGACGGGUCGAGCAGGUACGAAAGUAGGAGUUAGUGAUCCGGCGGUUCCGUAUGGAAGGACCGUCGCUCAACGGAUAAAAGCUACCCCGGGGAUAACAGGCUGAUACUUCCCAAGAGUCCAUAUCGACGGAAGUGUUUGGCACCUCGAUGUCGGCUCGUCUCAUCCUGGGGCUGGAGAAGGUCCCAAGGGUUGGGCUGUUCGCCCAUUAAAGAGGCACGCGAGCUGGGUUCAGAACGUCGUGAGACAGUUCGGUCCCUAUCCACUGCAGGCGCCUGAAUACUGAAAAGAUCUGACCUUAGUACGAGAGGACCGGGUUGGACAGACCUCUGAUGUA